AGUCAACAUGCCCAGGGGACGUGGAUAACCUCGGGAAACUGAGGAUAAACCGCGACAGGCCAAGAUUUCUGGAAUGAAUCAUGGUUUAAAUCUAUAUGGCCCCUGGAUUGGACUGCGGCCGAUCAGGCUGUUGGUGAGGUAAUGGCCCACCAAACCUGUAACCGGUACGGGCUCUGAGAGGAGGAGCCCGGAGAUGGGCACUGAGACAAGGGCCCAGGCCCUAUGGGGCGCAGCAGGCGCGAAACCUCUGCAAUAGGCGAAAGCUUGACAGGGUUACUCUGAGUGAUUUCCGUUAAGGAGAUCUUUUGGCACCUCUAAAAAUGGUGC
rnacentral:rRNA from 1 species